GUAAAAAAUCUCUCGGGACGGACCAAGUCACAAUUCCCAAUAGUGUUGUACCCCAUGCCCGUUAUCCGGCGUGCAAGUCACCUCAAUAUAGCGUUACAAUGUGAAAUUCCGGGGUUUCAAACCCUCAGGACAUCAUUUACAUCAAUUACUCACCUCAAGACGGCCAAAAGUCUAGCUCGCUAUACCCUUGCCUCUCGAAUUGGCCUCUUCGUGCGUCGAAUCUAUCCAAAAUCAGAACGAAUAUGUCACAUUAUGCUGUAGGAACAAUACCCAAUCGAAAAUAACUGAAAAACAUCAAAAUCCCAAAAUUUGGCAAAACCCGAGCCCCGGACCCACUUCUCGAAAUUCAGAAAAAUUAACAUCAACGGAUUCUUAUCUCGCCACGAGUCUAUACAUAUAAAAUUUACCAAAAUCGGACAUCAACUCGACCCUCAAAUCUUCAAAUCUUAUUUUCAAAUCCCUAAGCCUAAAUCCCCAAUUUACUCCUCAAAAACAUGUAAUCUAGUCGGAUUAUUCUAUGAUAAUUCAAUAUUAUGGAGUAGAAAUAAUCACAAGUGACUUACCUCAAGAUUUCUCAUGAUUUCUUGCUCAAAAAUCGCCCCAAGCCGUGUUCU
rnacentral:lncRNA from 1 species